rnacentral:rRNA from 2 species
UACGAAGGGUGCAAGCGUUAAUCGGAAUUACUGGGCGUAAAGCGUGCGUAGGCGGUUUGUUAAGUCAGAUGUGAAAGCCCCGGGCUCAACCUGGGAACUGCAUUUGAUACUGGCAGGCUAGAGUACGGUAGAGGGUGGUGGAAUUCCCGGUGUAGCGGUGAAAUGCGUAGAGAUCGGGAGGAACAUCCGUGGCGAAGGCGGCCACCUGGACCAGUACUGACGCUGAGGCACGAAAGCGUGGGGAGCAAACAGG